CAGGAUGUGGGGUGUUAAGAGUUGCUCCCCUUACCUGCUUGGUAAGGCAGCCAAAAAUAAUCUCUAGGCUACUGAGGCAAUAUAGGGUUAACAUUUAGUAAGCAGAUUCAGUCAUCCAUAUUGAUAUCCCAGACUGCUGCCAAUGGAGACAGAGGGAUCAAAGCUCUUCAAAAGCUGAUCAUUAUUUCCAGGCAUGUUUGAGUCUGAGACUGAAGACGAAUAUGACUGAGUUAAAAAGAGAAUGGAAGGACUCAAGAACAGGUGUAGGUUUCAUACCUGUAAUUAUACCUACAAAAGCAUUGUCGUGGAGGUGGAAAAAAACUGACCCUAAUCAUCUGAAAGAACAUGGCUCAUAGAAAGAUGAGAGAAGGAGGCAAGAAAAAUGGAAGAACAGAAGAGGGAAAUGAGAAAAAGGCAGGCGAUGCCAAGAGGGGAAGCUGCAAAGGAAAGAAAUAGUCAUUAGCAUCACACUGGAAAAGAGAAACAGAACUUCAACUUAGCAUUUAUUAUGUGUUUUGUUUCCAAACUAGUUAGUAAAUGUUUUUCAUUUUAAAACAGACAUGGUAGCCUCCUUCA